rnacentral:rRNA from 1 species
UACAGAGGGUGCGAGCGUUGUCCGGAAUCACUGGGCGUAAAGGGCGCGUAGGUGGCGACCCAAGUCGAUGGUGAAAGCUCGCCGCUCAACGGCGAGUCGGCCACCGAUACUGGGUUGCUCGAGCACUGUAGAGGCUAAUGGAAUUCCAGGUGUAGCGGUGAAAUGCGUAGAUAUCUGGAGGAACACCGGUGGCGAAGGCGGCAUCCUGGACCGGCAUUGACGCUGAGGCGCGAAAGCUAGGGGAGCAAACGGG